UUUUAUGGAGAGUUUGAUCCUGGCUCAGGAUGAACGCUGGCGGCGUGCCUAAUACAUGCAAGUCGAGCGAACAGAUAAGGAGCUUGCUCCUUUGACGUUAGCGG
rnacentral:rRNA from 1 species